GACGAACGCUGGCGGCGUGCUUAACACAUGCAAGUCGAACGCUGAAGCUCAGCUUUUGUUGGGUGGAUGAGUGGCGAACGGGUGAGUAACACGUGAGUAGCCUGCCCCCUUCUUUGGGAUAACGCCCGGAAACGGGUGCUAAUACUGGAUAUUCACUGGUCUUCGCAUGGGGGUUGGUGGAAAGGGUUUUUCUGGUGGGGGAUGGGCUCGCGGCCUAUCAGCUUGUUGGUGGGGUGAUGGCCUACCAAGGCUUUGACGGGUAGCCGGCCUGAGAGGGUGACCGGUCACAUUGGGACUGAGAUACGGCCCAGACUCCUACGGGAGGCGGCAGUGGGGAAUAUUGCACAAUGGGCGCAAGCCUGAUGCAGCGACGCCGCGUGAGGGAUGGAGGCCUUCGGGUUGUGAACCUCUUUCGCUCAUGGUCAAGCCGCAACAAUGGUUGUGGUGAGGGUAGUGGGUAAAGAAGCGCCGGCUAACUACGUG
rnacentral:rRNA from 1 species